rnacentral:rRNA from 1 species
GACGAACGCUGGCGGCGUGCCUAAUACAUGCAAGUCGAACGCUGAAGAGAGGAGCUUGCUCUUCUUGGAUGAGUUGCGAACGGGUGAGUAACGCGUAGGUAACCUGCCUUGUAGCGGGGGAUAACUAUUGGAAACGAUAGCUAAUACCGCAUAACAAUGGAUGACACAUGUCAUUUAUUUGAAAGGGGCAAUUGCUCCACUACAAGAUGGACCUGCGUUGUAUUAGCUAGUAGGUGAGGUAAUGGCUCACCUAGGCGACGAUACAUAGCCGACCUGAGAGGGUGAUCGGCCACACUGGGACUGAGACACGGCCCAGACUCCUACGGGAGGCAGCAGUAGGGAAUCUUCGGCAAGGGGGGCAAACCUGACCGAGCAACGCCGCGGGAGGGAAGAAGGGUGUCGGAUCGUAAAGCUCGGUUGUAAGUCAAGAACGGGUGUGAGAGUGGAAAGUUCACACUGUGACGGUAGCUUACCAGAAAGGGACGGCUAACUACGUG